GUACGAAGGGGCUAGCGUUGUUCGGAAUCACUGGGCGUAAGGGCGCGUAGGCGGCUUUGUCAGUCGGGGGUGAAAGCCUGUGGCUCAACCACAGAAUGGCCUUCGAUACUGCGAGGCUUGAGACCGGGAGAGGUGAGUGGAACUGCGAGUGGAGAGGUGAAAUUCGUAGAUAUUCGCAAGAACACCAGUGGCGAAGGCGGCUCACUGGUCCGGAUCGUGACGCUGAGGCGCGAAAGCGUGGGGAGCAACAGGA
rnacentral:rRNA from 1 species